GGGACAACACGGGAAACAAGUCCUCCAUUUAUCCAGAAAACAGGUGUAGCACGGACAGUGGCAGAGCAAGCUUCCCCACACUGCCCUAUAAAUACGCCCUUUAAUGAAAAAUGUGCCUUAAACUUAGCCAAGAGGGACCACAUUUAUAGAGGGGAGAUGCUGAGCUGUUUCUGUAUAGGAUACU
rnacentral:sRNA from 1 species